GGCGGCAGGCUUAACACAUGCAAGUCGAACGCCCGAGCAAUCGGGAGUGGCAGACGGGUGAGUAACACGUGGGAACAUACCCUCAGGUUCGGAACAACGCCGGGAAACUGGCGCUAAUACCGGAUACGCCCUGUGAAGGGGAAAGGCUUGCUGCCUGAGGAGUGGCCCGCGUUCGAUUAGCUAGAUGGCGGGGUAACGGCCCACCAUGGCGACGAUCGAUAGCUGGUCUGAGAGGAUGGCCAGCCACAUUGGGACUGAGACACGGCCCAAACUCCUACGGGAGGCAGCAGUGGGGAAUAUUGGACAAUGGGCGCAAGCCUGAUCCAGCCAUGCCGCGUGAGUGAUGAAGGCCUUAGGGUUGUAAAGCUCUUUCGCACGCGACGAUAAUGACGGUAGCGUGAGAAGAAGCCCCGGCUAACUUCGUGCCAGCAGCCGCGGUAAUACGAAGGGGGCUAGCGUUGUUCGGAAUCACUGGGCGUAAAGGGUGCGCAGGCGGGUUCAUAAGUCAGGGGUGAAAUCCCGAGGCUCAACCUCGGAACUGCCUUUGAUACUGUGGAUCUUGAGUCCGGAAGAGGUGAGUGGAAC
rnacentral:rRNA from 1 species